rnacentral:rRNA from 1 species
UGAACGCUGGCGGCCGGCCUAACACAUGCAAGUCGAGCGGAUGAAGGGAGCUUGCUCCUGGAUUCAGCGGCGGACGGGUGAGUAAUGCCUAGGAAUCUGCCUGGUAGUGGGGGAUAACGUCCGGAAACGGGCGCUAAUACCGCAUACGUCCUGAGGGAGAAAGUGGGGGAUCUUCGGACCUCACGCUAUCAGAUGAGCCUAGGUCGGAUUAGCUAGUUGGUGGGGUAAAGGCCUACCAAGGCGACGAUCCGUAACUGGUCUGAGAGGAUGAUCAGUCACACUGGAACUGAGACACGGUCCAGACUCCUACGGGAGGCAGCAGUGGGGAAUAUUGGACAAUGGGCGAAAGCCUGAUCCAGCCAUGCCGCGUGUGUGAAGAAGGUCUUCGGAUUGUAAAGCACUUUAAGUUGGGAGGAAGGGCAGUAAGUUAAUACCUUGCUGUUUUGACGUUACCAACAGAAUAAGCACCGGCUAACUUCGUG